rnacentral:lncRNA from 1 species
UUUUUUCUCAGAUUUAGUGUAUCUUUAAAGGCAUGAUUUCUUUUUCGGAUAGAACCUGACCAUAUUUAUUGUCAUGCCGUUCAGAUACAUCAAGGACAUUGCUCACCUCUAAUUUGGUGAUCCUCAUAAAAUAAACAUUAGUUCGACAAAGGAGUGUCACAAAAAAUAGCCGCAAUAAGGAGAGAACGAGUAACAAAACCAUUAUAAUAUACUCCCAUAGUAAGUUUGCCCAUUGAAGAUUAACAUGAUU